rnacentral:rRNA from 1 species
UACGGGGGGGGGCAAGCGUUAUUCGGAAUUAUUGGGCGUAAAGGGCGCGUAGGCGGCUUGGCAAGUGGAUGGUGAAAUCCCUCGGCUUAACCGAGGAACUGCCGUCCAAACUGCUUCGCUUGAGACCGGGAGAGGUGAGUGGAAUUCCCAGUGUAGCGGUGAAAUGCGUAGAUAUUGGGAGGAACACCAGUGGCGAAGGCGGCUCACUGGACCGGUACUGACGCUGAUGCGCGAAAGCGUGGGGAGCAAACGGG